UAUGUAGUAUGGUCCACAUCU
rnacentral:ncRNA from 2 species